UACGUAGGGUGCAAGCGUUGUCCGGAAUUAUUGGGCGUAAAGAGCUUGUAGGCGGUUUGUCGCGUCUGCUGUGAAAUUUCGGGGCUCAACCCCGAACUUGCAGUGGGUACGGGCAGGCUAGAGUGUGGUAGGGGAGACUGGAAUUCCUGGUGUAGCGGUGAAAUGCGCAGAUAUCAGGAGGAACACCGAUGGCGAAGGCAGGUCUCUGGGACGGUACUGACGCUGAGACGCGAAAGCGUGGGGAGCGAACAGG
rnacentral:rRNA from 1 species